UGGGGGGGGGGAACAAUGGGAUGGCACAAAUUACAAGGGGAAGAAAGAUACAUUUUCAGGGCAGGUCAGCAAGGAGAACAGGCUAAGAGGACAAGAGCCAACGACAAAGAGAAAGAAAAUAAUUUUGUCAGGGUGCUCUACCAGCCAUAAGUAUUCAGCCUCCUGAGAACAAAUGACUGUCUCGAUUAGCAAGCAGGAUGAGUAAAUAUGUAGACUAGAACAUGAUGCUGAGGACAGUGUGUUGCCAACGAGCUCUAGUCUAAUCAGGAGAUUUGCUCCAGAAGUGUGCUCCUCAUACAAAUGAAAAUGCACUUCAUCCAUCCGUGCAGUCCAGUUCCAAGCCCCCUUUUUGUGAAAUGAUGCAACUUGAGUGCUUACCUGUAAGUUGUAAC